GAAUCCCGUAUAUGGCACGGACUGCCGUUGCUCUGCGAUACACUCUCAACGGGUCGAGUUGUUUGGGAAUGCAGCUCCAAAUGGGUGGUAAAUGCCAUCUAAAGCUAAAUAUUGGCGAGAGACCGAUAGCGAACAAGUACCGUGAGGGAAAGAUGAAAAGCACUUUGGAAAGAGAGUGAAACAGUACGUGAAAUUGUUGAAAGGGAAACGCUUGAAGUCAGUCGCGUCGACCGAGACUCAGCCUUGCCUUGGCUUGGUGUACUUCUCGGCUGACGGGUCAGCAUCAAUUUUGAUCCUUGGAUAAUGGCAAGGGAAAGGUAGCACCUUUAUAGGUGUGUUAUAGUCCUCUGUCGGAUGCAAGGGUUGGGAUUGAGGAACUCAGCAUGCACCUUGUCGGUGUCGGGGCCUUGGCCCACGUUACGUGCUUAGGAUGCUGGCAUAAUGGCUUUAAACGACCCGUCUUGAAACACGGACCAAGGAGUCUAACAUGCACGCGAGUGUUCGGGUGGAAAACCCGUGCGCGUAAUGAAAGUAAAAGUUGGGACCUCUGUCGUGGAGGGCACCGACGCCCGGACCAGACCUUCUGUGACGGCUCUGCGGUAGAGCGUGUAUGUUGGGACCCGAAAGAUGGUGAACUAUGCCUGAAUAGGGUGAAGCCAGAGGAAACUCUGGUGGAGGCUCGUAGCGAUUCUGACGUGCAAAUCGAUCGUCAAAUUUGGGUAUAGGGGCGAAAGACUAAUCGAACCAUCUAGUAGCUGGUUCCUGCC
rnacentral:rRNA from 1 species